rnacentral:rRNA from 1 species
AGUGGCGAACGGGUGAGUAAUGUAUCGGAACAUGUCCGGAAGUGGGGGAUAACGUAGCGAAAGUUACGCUAAUACCGCAUAUGCUGAGGGAAAGGUGCGCUUUCGGAGUGGCCGAUAUCAGAUUAGCUUGUUGGUGAGGUAAAGGCUCACCAAGGCGACGAUCUGUAGCUGGUCUGAGAGGACGACCAGCCACACUGGGACUGAGACACGGUCCAGACUCCUACGGGAGGCAGCAGUGGGGAAUUUUGGACAAUGGGGGCAACCCUGAUCCAGCCAUGCCGCGUGAGUGAAGAAGGCCUUCGGGUUGUAAAGCUCUUUCGGACGGAAAGAAUGACGGUACCGUCAUAAGAAGCACCGGCUAACUACGUGCCAGCAGCCGCGGUAAUACGUAGGGUGCGAGCGUUAAUCGGAAUUACUGGGCGU